rnacentral:sRNA from 1 species
ACCACUUAACCGUAGUUAGCGACCUUCUCAAAUCCUCUGUUGUUCCUAUAAAUUUGGUAAAGACGCUAUGUAGACAAACAUGAGCUCUAGCUUUUUUGAGUGCAGCGUUUGGUAAAGAUGUUUAAGGGAUCAUCCAUGGUUGCAGAAUUCCAAGGUGAAGAUGAAGACGAAGAUCUUGAAGUUGAAAAGAUUAUAUGACAACAUUCAACAGUCGAAUCUAUGAUUUAUCAGAGCGCAAUUAUCUUGCUUCCCACUGAAACUCAGCAGCAGAAAGUCUUCUCAAAGUUUGAUCAAGUGCUAGAGAAGCCGGGCCAUCCAGGUUAUCAUAUUUUGCGUUUCAAUUUCUCUGCUUACCGUCUCUAAGGUUACAUGGGCAGUGUCUACUUGUGGAAUUAGCUCUGCCUGGCCCAGAGAGAUUUAGAAAUGUGAUAUCUACAGGCGGACUCUCAUCUACCUUGCCUGCAUUCCUGGCCUGUUCUUGGUGCUCCAACGCAAGGUACUUCUCCCAUGCAGCAAAAGAUUCUUCUCUGAAAUCGUCUGGAAACAAUAUCAGAAUCCUGCAGGUACUCUGGACGACCAAGUGGCAAGAAUGCAAAUUUCCACUUUGAGAACUCCUCAUCCGGGACCUGCAAUUUCUUUUGUAUCCAUAUUUGAACUUCAGCUUUCCCCUUCAUGGCAGAAAAUUUCUUUAGUUAAAUAUGUUUUGUCGAUUCAUGUGGCAUAUCUCCCUCAGAGCCGGUCCUGAGAUUUUGGAGGCCUGUGCGAGACUCAAACGGAGGCCCUUACAAGGUCUAAAGUUUGGUUGUUAUAUUUUCUUUUAUAUUUUAUAUUGUUUUUCUUGUGUAUAAAUUGAUAUAAAGGCAAAAGAAAAUAAAUAAAAAAGAAGCAUGGUUUGGUGG